GGGUUGUGAGGUUAAGCGACUAAGCGUACACGGUGGAUGCCCUGGCAGUCAGAGGCGAUGAAGGACGUGCUAAUCUGCGAUAAGCGUCGGUAAGGUGAUAUGAACCGUUAUAACCGGCGAUUUCCGAAUGGGGAAACCCAGUGUGAUUCGUCACACUAUCAUUAACUGAAUCCAUAGGUUAAUGAGGCGAACCGGGGGAACUGAAACAUCUAAGUACCCCGAGGAAAAGAAAUCAACCGAGAUUCCCCCAGUAGCGGCGAGCGAACGGGGAGCAGCCCAGAGCCUGAAUCAGUGUGUGUGUUAGUGGAAGCGUCUGGAAAGGCGUGCGAUACAGGGUGACAGCCCCGUACACAAAAAUGCACAU
rnacentral:rRNA from 1 species